GUGCUCUCUUUGGCAGCACAUAUACUAAAAUUGGAACGAUACAGAGAUUAGCAUGUCCCCUCUGCAAGAAUGACAUGCAAACUCAUGAAGCAUUCCAUUUUUUU